UACGUAGGGGGCUAGCGUUGUCCGGAUUUAUUGGGCGUAAAGAGCGUGUAGGCGGCCAGGUAGGUCCGUUGUGAAAACUCGAGGCUCAACCUCGAGACGCCGGCGGAAACCCCCUGGCUAGAGUCCGGAAGAGGAGAGUGGAAUUCCUGGUGUAGCGGUGAAAUGCGCAGAUAUCAGGAAGAACACCCGUGGCGAAGGCGGGUCUCUGGGCCGAUACUGACGCUGAGGAGCGAAAGCGUGGGGAGCGAACAGG
rnacentral:rRNA from 1 species